rnacentral:rRNA from 1 species
UGAACGCUGGCGGGUGCUUACACAUGCAAGUCGCACGAGAACUCCCUGGCUUGCCGGGGAUAGUAAGUGGCGCACGGGUGAGUACACGUGAGUAAUCUGCUUCGAAUCGGGGAUAACCCCNGCGAAAGCGGGGCUAAUACCGGAUGAAGUCCGGAUGGUUUUGGCUGUUUGGAUGAAAGGUGGCCUCUACAUGUAAGCUACUGUUUGAAGAUGAGCUCGCGGACCAUUAGCUUGUUGGGGGGUAAAGGCCUACCAAGGCAACGAUGGUUAGCUGGUCUGAGAGGAUGAUCAGUCACACUGGAACUGACACACGGUCCAGACUCCUACGGGAGGCAGCAGUGAGGAAUUUUGCGCAAUGGGGGAAACCCUGACGCAGCAACGCCGCGUGAGUGAUGAAGGCCUUCGGGUCGUAAAGCUCUGUCGAGUGGGAAGAACCUGCAUUGGAGAUAAUAUUCCGAUGCAUUGACGGUACCACUGGAGGAAGCACCGGCUAACUCCGUGCCAGCAGCCGCGGUAAUACGGAGGGUGCAAGCGUUAUUCGGAAUCAUUGGGCGUAAAGGGCACGUAGGCGGUUUGCUGGGUCGGAUGUGAAAUCCCGGGGCUUAACCCCGGAAGUGCAUUCGAAACUGGCAGACUUGAGUAUGGGAGAGGGAAGCGGAAUUCCUGGUGUAGAGGUGAAAUUCGUAGAUAUCAGGAGGAACACCGGUGGCGAAGGCGGCUUCCUGGACCAAUACUGACGCUGAGGUGCGAAGGCGUGGGGAGCAAA